rnacentral:rRNA from 1 species
UACGAAGGGUGCAAGCGUUACUUGGAAUUACUGGGCGUAAAGCGUGCGUAGGUGGUGAGUUAAGUCUGUCGUGAAAGCCCCGGGCCUCAACCUGGGAAUGGCGAUGGAUACUGGCUCGCUAGAGUGCGGUAGAGGAGAGUGGAAUUCCCGGUGUAGCAGUGAAAUGCGUAGAGAUCGGGAGGAACAUCAGUUGCGAAGGCGGCUCUCUGGACCAGCACUGACACUGAGGCACGAAAGCGUGGGGAGCAAACAGG